rnacentral:rRNA from 1 species
UACGUAGGUGACAAGCGUUGUCCGGAUUUACUGGGCGUAAAGAGCGCGCAGGCGGUCGAUCAAGUCGAGUGUGAAAGCCCCCGGCUCAACUGGGGAGGGUCAUUCGAAACUGGUCGACUCGAAGGCAGGAGAGGGUGGCGGAAUUCUCGGUGUAGAGGUGAAAUUCGUAGAUAUCGAGAGGAACACCGGUGGCGAAGGCGGCUACCUGGACGGUGACUGACGCUGAGACGCGAAAGCGUGGGGAGCAAACAGG